rnacentral:misc_RNA from 1 species
GAUGAAGAACGUAGCGAAAUGCGAUACUUGGUGUGAAUUGCAGAAUCCCGUGAACCAUCGAGUCUUUGAACGCAAGUUGCGCCUCAAGCCAUUAGGUUGAGGGCACGUCUGCCUGGGCGUCACAUAUCGUUGCCUGAUGCCAGUUUCCUCGUGAUGGGUGACUGUGCAGGGCGAAUGAUGGCUUCCCGUGAGCAUUGUUGCCUCAUGGUUGGUUGAAAAUUGAGUCCUUGGUAGGGAGCGCCGUGAGAGAUGGUGGUUGAGUGACGAACGAGACCCAAUCAUGUGAGACCCCUACCGAAUUUGGCCUUCAUGACCCACAUGCGUCUUUGGAACGCUCAUGACGAGACCUCAGGUCAGGCGGGGCUACCCGCUGAGUUUAAGCAUAUCAAUAAGCGGAGGA